UCCGUGCUUAGCGCAGCCAUGGCCUGUGGUCCCAAGAAGCAUCUGAAGCGUGUAGCAGCUCCAAAGCAUUGGAUGCUGGAUAAGCUGACCGGUGUGUUUGCUCCUCGUCCAUCCACCGGUCCCCACAAGCUGAGAGAGUGUCUCCCACUCAUCAUUUUCCUAAGAAACAGGCUUAAGUAUGCCCUGACAGGAGAUGAAGUGAAGAAGAUCUGCAUGCAGCGCUUCAUUAAAAUCAAUGGCAAGGUCUGAACUGAUAUAACCUACCCUGCUGGAUUUAUGGAUGUCAUCAGCAUUGACAAGACUGGAGAGACACCAAGGGUCGCUUUGCUGUUCAUCGUAUCACACCUGAGGAGGCCAAGUACAAGUUGUGCAAAGUGAGAAAAACCUUUGUGGGCACAAAAGGAAUCCCUCAUCUGGUGACUCAUGAUGCUCGUGCCAUCCGCUAUCCUGAUCCACUCAUCAAAGUGAAUGACACCAUUCGGAUUGAUUUGGAGACUGGCAAGAUUACUGAUUUCAUCAAGUUUGACACUGGUAACCUGUGUAUGGUGACUGGAGGCGCUAACCUGGGGAGAAUUGGUGUGAUCACCAACAGAGAAAGACAUCCCGGGUCUUUUGAUGUGGUUCACGUGAAAGAUGCCAAUGGCAACAGCUUUGCCACUCGCCUCUCCAACAUUUUCGUUAUUGGCAAAGGCAACAGACCAUGGAUUUCUCUUCCUCGAGGAAAAGGUAUCCGCCUCACCAUUGCUGAAGAGAGGGAUAAGAGACUGGCAGCCAAACAGAGCAGCGGGUGAAACGGUCUCCAUGUAACAUAAUAACAUGUUAAA